ACCGAGCCUGCAGGGAGAGAGGCCUCCAAGUUCCUGCUGAACCACUCAACAGCUUAAAAUACAACCAGCCCUCUCCCUGCCUGCCAGCUGGUGGGGAAGGGCUGAAAUCCUACCCUCCAGGACCAGGGCCCAGGAGGAGAGGACGGCUGUCGGGGCCCCAACUGGCUGCUGGGAGAGGAAGCUGGACAGCAGGCAAGUGUGGUCAAGAGAGGGGCCACACUCCCAGCAGCCACUCCCUGGGCCACUGCGCCCAGGCCGGCCAGGCCAGAGGACAGGAGAAGCUGAACCCUCAGAGAGCCAGCCCCGUGCUUCCCAGGCUCUUCCCAUCUGGGAGCCUGACUCAGUGGCUUCAAGGUAGAGGACCACGUCUAGUACUUGGGACAAGGGGCUGGAAGAGGCCAAAGAAUCAGCAUGGAUUCAGGGUCACCCUCAGCACCUCCCACUUCUGCACCUGGAACCUCCUCACAUCCUAAGAUGGGACCCGCUUGACGGGAAAGCACUGUCAGAUCAGAAAGCUGGAAGAGGCCAGAGAUGCUGACCCAUGCGGGCGGACACAGCCUGAUCAGAGCAGCAGGAGGAACUCAUCCGGACCGAACCGGCGACCUGUGCCCAGCACUCCCAACCCAGGUGCCGAGGGCAGCCCCAGGUCUGCUGCUGAGACACCAUCAACAGUUGCUCCCUCUAGAACCCAGAGAUCUGACAUCAGGGAGAUGGCGAGAAGUCCUGAAAGGUAGAUCUCUGAAUCAUAGGGGAGUGGGGCGGGGCGGGGGAGCAACCUGCUGCCAUGUGUGGAUGAGUCAUUGCUGAACCCUUAAUGAUCCAGAUUCAGUUCUAGAAACUUCUGAAGCUACAUUUUUUGGGGACUUCCAAGUAACAGCCAAGGCUAUGGUCUUCAGAAACUCAGUAUCUUUUUCACUGUGCCCAUGUGGACAAAACAGAUGAAAACACAAAGGUGUUUUAUAACUGCACUUUCAAAAGCACCUAUCUUCUGUUAGUAGUUGUGGGGCUCACAGUAUCUUGAAACCCUUUGUGUCCCAACAGGCCACCUUGCUGCCCUAUAAGGGGGACAGGGGAGUACUCUGAUGCCACAGGUUAAAAUCCUACCAAGUUGAGUUACUUGAGAUGUCUAAUUGAGGUGCUGAAGGAGCAAGAUUGAACCCCUAAAACCUAGCCACAUUUUGCUACUUUACCAGUUGUAGUGAUUUGUAGCUUCUCCUGUGUGGCCUGAGUAGACACAUCUUCCCGAUCACUAGGUACCAGAUAGAUAAUGUGGUGUUGUGGCCAAAUAAAUGACAUUGGACAGACUGCACAUACAUUUCUACAGACUGGAACAUUCUGGAGUUCCUUUUUUGAGACUGCUUUCCUGAGCUGCACACUCAUUCAACAGGAACCAAAUUAUUUUAUGAACCUACUAUGUUAUGUGUCAUCAGAGGCACACAAAUAAUUUCCACCCUGCUCACCCACAAGAGGCUCAUAGGAAGGCAGGAACAAGCCUCUGGAGAAUUCUUUACUUUUGACAAUUAGUGCAGGAGUGAGAAUCCCUUGCUGACUUCAUCUGGCUUCCAGUAACCAGGCUGUCGGCAAAAAUCAAAUCCACCCUUGAAUGAAUACUGGCCACUUUAAACAGCCAUUCGUGACACUGUACUGUAGCUCUGGCUGUGGCUGUCAUUAGGGACAACGCGAUCGUGCUUGUGCCCUCAGCAUCCCCAGCACAGUGGUGAAUUUAAACAGUGACAAGUAGACACAUUUGGUGCUUGCUGAUCCGACUGCAACAAGCCCCUGAGAGUAGUUUCCAAAUGGAAAAUUCCAGAAAGAUCUUGCAUUUGGCAGCUCUGAAAGAUAAGCAGGGCCUCCUGGGGUCUCAGAUUUGGGUGAACCCACAGUCAUUUGGACAUCAAAGAGCUGGUAUGUUCAGUAGUAUCUGGCUCCUUUUGUAUUUUCCACAUGCAGGAAAGGUAGGAUCUUGAUUUUCCCAGAACCUGGUUUAGCUGGUUUGCAGGAGCAGGACAGAGCUGGUUCAGAGAAUGUGGGGAAGGUGAAGCAAAGAUCAGACAAGCUAGGGCUGGUUAGCAACCUUCCAUUGUGUCAGGAGUCCCAGAGGGAGAUCUCCGAAAGCCUGCUCUGUUUCGCCAUUUUUAUUUUUUGUUAAGCCAGUGUGAGAUCUUUUUUCUCCUUUGUUUUUUCAUUGAGGUAUAUUUUACAUACAGUAAAAUUCACCUUUCUCAGUGUAUAGUUCUGAAUACAGACAGCUGUAUAACCACCCCAGUCAAGAUAUAGAGCAUUUUCAUCAUCCCAAAAAUUUCUCCUGUACCUCUCUUUAGCAGAUCCCAGUUCCUGGCAACCACUUUCUGCCCCCAAUACUUUUGCCUUUUCCAGGAGGUCCUAUAAAAUGUCAUCACACAGUAAAUAGCUUUUUGAGUUAGCCUUCUUUCACUAACAAUGUAUUUGAGGUUUAUCUGCAUUAUUUCCUGUAUCAGUAUCUUGUUUUCCUUUUUAGGGCUGAAUAGUAUUCCCUCUUGUUGCUGGAUCAGUUUGUUCAUCCAUUCAUCUACUGAAAGACACUUAGGUUUUAAUGGCUUUCAGUAAUAAUGAAUAAAACCUUGAUAAACAUUGGUACAUGGGUUUUAUGUGAACAUGGGUUUUUUUUUUCCACAGCAGCUUUAUUCAAAAUAACCAAAAAUGUUCAUUCAGUGAUGAAUGGAUAAACAAACCAUGGUAUAUCCAUGCAAUGGAAUACUUCUCAGCAAUAAAAAAGAGUGAGUGAACUUGGGUUUUUAUUUCACAUGGGUAUUCAACCAAGGGUGAGAAUGCUGGCUUAUCUGGCAGUAGUGUUUUUGAAUGCAUUCUUGAUGAAGAGAAGAAUUGAAAAGAGUGCAUUUUCCUAAAUUAAAGCUUUACCGUUAUCUGAAUCAUAUCUUACACGAGCUGAGUGCUUUUACCAGAAGCACUCUGUGUGCUAAACACUCCACACUUCAGCAUCUUACUCCCUGGAUGACCUCAGUCAAGUCACGUGAGUGCUCAGAGCCUGGUUUCCCCACUUGUAAAAUGAAGGUAACAUUAGGCCAACCUCCCAGGGUAAUUGCGAGGAUUAUAUGGGUUAAUACACACUGAGCACUUAAAAAUGGCUUGGCACAUAGUAGGGCCAUGCCCAUGUUAACUGAUACUAUAGUGUUCAUUUCUUGGCCCCUCUUAACUUCAACCACAUAGCAACCCUAGGUAGUAAGAGCAAGCAAGUUGUGUUAAGAUCGCACAGGCAGUAAAUAAAUAAAUAGUGGGUCCAGGAUUUCGCAGAGGGAGGGAAACAUCAAUGUGCAAAAGAAAUAUGGAUCAGUUCCUCUCACACACCCCUAACUGCUGACCUUUCAGUUCACUGUUGGGCGCUCAACCCACUGAGCCACAAAGGCUGGAAACUCAUAGGAGCUGAUACUUCUUCCUCAGGAAAACCUCAGUAUUUCUUGUGUUUUUUUUAAGUUAAUUUUUGAUUUUUAAAAUUUUUUUCCAAUUACAAUUUACAUUCAAUAGUAUUUUGUAUUUAGUUUCAGGUAUACAGCAUAGUGGUUAGAUAAUCAUAUACUUAUCAAAGUGUUCCCACUGAUACUUCCAAUACCAAACUGUCACUAUACAUACUCAUUGCAAUAUCAUCAACUAUAUUUCCUAUGCUGCACUUUAUACCCUCAUGACUAUUCUGUAACUGCCAAUCAACACUUCUCAAUCCUUUCACCUUCUUCACCUGGUCCAGCAACCCCCUCUUUCCUGUUUCUGGUUGGUUGGUUG